rnacentral:lncRNA from 1 species
GCAAGAUAAGCGCUUUUACACACCUCAUUGGUUUACUGUUCUUGAGACUCUGACUCCAACAAAUAUUAAACAUACCUUCUAUUUGAGACCAAAUCCUUUAAUUGUACAUUUUAGGGUGAAUAGACAGGAGGAAACUAUAGGUGCCCUUGAGUAACCUUCCCUUUUCCUCUUCAUACAAUUUUCACAAAAGAGUUGACCAAAACGGAAUUUAAC